UACGUAGGGGGCAAGCGUUGUCCGGAAUCAUUGGGCGUAAAGAGCGUGUAGGCGGUCCGGUCAGUCGGUUGUGAAAGUCAAGGGCUCAACCCUUGAAUGCCGGCCGAUACUGCCGGGCUAGAGUCCGGAAGAGGUGAGUGGAAUUCCUGGUGUAGCGGUGAAAUGCGCAGAUAUCAGGAGGUACACCGAUGGCGAAGGCAGCUCACUGGGACGGUACUGACGCUGAGACGCGAAAGCGUGGGGAGCAAACAGG
rnacentral:rRNA from 1 species